GUGCUCGCUUCGGCAGCACAUCUACUAAAACUGGAACACCACAGAGAGGAUUAGCACAGCCCUGCGCAGGGAUGACAUGCAAAUUCGUGAAGUGCUCCAUAUUAAA